UACGUAGGGGGCAAGCGUUGUCCGGAUUUAUUGGGCGUAAAGAGCGUGUAGGCGGCCGUACAGGUCAGCUGUGAAAACUCGAGGCUCAACCUCGAGACGUCGGUUGAAACCGUACGGCGAGAGUCCGGAAGAGGAGAGUGGAAUUCCCGGUGUAGCGGUGAAAUGCGCAGAUAUCGGGAAGAACACCCGUGGCGAAGGCGGCUCUCUGGGACGGUACUGACGCUGAGACGCGAAAGCGUGGGGAGCGAACAGG
rnacentral:rRNA from 1 species